rnacentral:lncRNA from 1 species
GCUGGCAUGUUGUGGAGAGCGAAGGCUCAUAAGCCUAAAAUAGCACCAACCAGGUCAUUAAAAGUACGCCCAGUACUCCAAAAUUAUUCGGUAACCCGUCGCUACUACCACCAACCAGGUCAUCAAAAGUACGCCCAGUAAUUCCAAAAUUAUUCGGCAACCCGCCGCUAUUAUCACCAACCAGGUGACCAAAAGUACGCCCAGUACUCCAAAAAUUACUCGGCAACUUGCCGCUAUUACCACCAACCAGGUGAUGAAAUGUACAACCCGUACUCUAAUAUCAUUUGGCAACUAGCCAUUCAUGCCACCAACCAGAUGAUCAAAAGUACGCCCAGUACUUCAAAUCAUACAUGAGCACUACUCAUGUCAAUCAUACAUAAACAUUCAUGAACAUUACUCAUGUCAAUCAUACAUAAACAUUCAUGAGCAUCACUCAUCCAAUCAUACAUAAACAUUCAUGAGCAUCACUCAUCCAAUCAUACAUAAAAAUUCAUGAGCAUCACUCAUGUCAACAUCCAUGAGCAUCACUCAUGUCAAUCAACAUAAACAUCCAUGAGCAUCACUCAUGUCAAAAGCUUCAUUUACAGAGCUCUAGCUUCAAAAUCGUCAUUUACAGAGCUCUAGCUUCAAAGCUUCACUUGCAAAGCUUCACCUACAAAGCUUUAGUGCAGGGUAUACAAAUACC